rnacentral:rRNA from 1 species
UUGAACGCUGGCGGCAUGGCUAAAGCAUGCAAGUCGAACGAACCCGCAAGGGCGAGUGGCGAAAGGGUCAGUAAUGCGAUCGAACGUACCCUGAGGUGGGGGAUAGCCGCGGGAAACUGCGGGUAAGACCCCAUGAUCUCUCCGGAGCAAAGGUUUACCGCCUUGGGAUCGGCGAUCGUCCUAUCAGCUAGUUGGCGGGGUAACGGCCCACCAAGGCGAUGACGGGUAGCAGGUGUGAGAGCACGACCUGCGACAUCGGGACUGAGACACUGCCCGGACUCCUACGGGAGGCUGCAGCGACGAAUCUUCCGCAAUGGGCGCAAGCCUGACGGAGCAAUGCCGCGUGUGGGAUGAAUCGGCUACGCCGUGUAAACCACUGUCAGGGGGCAGAACCAACGAUCGCCCCCAAAGGAAGAGACGGCUAACCCUGU